UACGUAGGGGGCAAGCGUUGUCCGGAAUCAUUGGGCGUAAAGAGCGUGUAGGCGGCUCGGUAAGUCUGCUGUGAAAGUCCAGGGCUCAACCCUGGGAUGCCGGUGGAUACUGUCGAGCUCGAGUCCGGAAGAGGCGAGUGGAAUUCCUGGUGUAGCGGUGAAAUGCGCAGAUAUCAGGAGGAACACCGAUGGCGAAGGCAGCUCGCUGGGACGUGACUGACGCUGAGACGCGAAAGCAUGGGGAGCGAACAGG
rnacentral:rRNA from 1 species